rnacentral:rRNA from 1 species
UACGUAGGGGGCAAGCGUUAUCCGGAUUCAUUGGGCGUAAAGAGCGCGUAGGCGGAUUGUUAAGCGCGAUGUGAAAACUGGGGGCUCAACCCGCAGCCUGCAUCGCGAACUGGCAGUCUUGAGUCUGGUAGAGGAGUGUGGAAUUCCCAGUGUAGCGGUGAAAUGCGCAGAUAUUGGGAGGAACACCAGUGGCGAAGGCGGCACUCUGGGCCACGACUGACGCUGAGGCGCGAAAGCUAGGGGAGCGAACAGG